AGUCGUACGAGAGUUUUUAACUCAAGUGGCGGACGGGUGAGUAACACGUAAGAAUUUGCCUUUAGGAGGGGGACAACAACUGGAAACGGUUGCUAAUACCCCAUAUGCUUUCGAGUGAAAUGGAUUUUUCCGCCUAGAGAGAAGCUUGCGGCUGAUAGCUUGUUGGUGAGGUAAUGGCUCACCAAGGCAACGAUCAGUAUCUGGUUUGAGAGGACGAUCAGACACACUGGAACUGAGACACGGUCCAGACUCCUACGGGAGGCAGCAGUGGGGAAUUUUCCGCAAUGGGCGAAAGCCUGACGGA
rnacentral:rRNA from 1 species